rnacentral:lncRNA from 1 species
AUACCAAGCUCCCUCUGCCUCUUGUGCAUUGUUAAAGUGAACUGUUAAAUAAGAUCUGGUUGAUGGUGCCUGGUUGAACCCCCACUUACCUCUGCGGGAAGGCAGUAAGGGAACAGAGAAAAAGUUUGUGAAAACUUCAGUGAUGGAAGUCAGGAGUAACACAGAAGGAGUUUCAGGAAUUGUUUGAACGUGGUCAAGAGAGCUCGUGUCCAGUACAGGAGGGCAGCUCCAUCCAAGUCACAGGAAAGACCAAACAGCCCUGCUGGAGGACAGUUCUGAGUCUGGGUGUCUGUUCCACCUGUUAUUGCAAGCAGAAUAUCCAUCAAAGAACCCUUCCCUGCCCAAAAAGAAACCCAUCCUCCACAGCGAACCAGAGUUCAAACAGCAGAGGCAUUUCAACACAUCACAGAGUCCUGCAUACUGGCUGGCUGCUUCUCAAGUUAAAGAUUUAUAAUAUAUUUAAUAUGGAUGAAAACUGGAACCACGGGUUGUAAACUAUUAAUGGAAGAGCAGUAGACUCCUGCAAUCAGGCACUGUCUUGGAGCAUGAAAUUCCCUCGUAGUGCAGAGAGGUGAGGAGGCCCCUGUGAAGCAUGGGCAGCAGCAGGCAGUGGUGCAUGGCCACCAGUGACAGAGGGGAACAAGUGCAGUAAGAAGGGGACCCAG